rnacentral:rRNA from 1 species
UUGUCGAAACCUGCCUAGCAGAACGACCCGCGAAUACGUGAACGUGCUGAGGGGGGACGACGGGCGCUCGCGCACCCUUUGCUCCCCCCUCGUCGGCGGAAGCGCGCCCGUGCCUCCCUCCCCCCUGCGGGGAGGCGGCGCGAGCGGGCUCCCCCCGACUCAACAACGAAACCCGGGGCAAACCGCUCCAAGGAAUUUGAAACCAGGACCUCGCUCCCGUCGCCCCGGAAACGGUGCGCGCGGGGAGCGGUGUUGUCUUUUGAAACCAAUAACGACUCUCGGCAACGGAUAUCUCGGCUCUCGCAUCGAUGAAGAACGUAGCGAAAUGCGAUACUUGGUGUGAAUUGCAGAAUCCCGUGAACCAUCGAGUCUUUGAACGCAAGUUGCGCCUGAAGCCAUUAGGCCGAGGGCACGUCUGCCUGGGCGUCACGCAACGUCGCUCACCCCAGCACCCCUUCUCUCAGGAGUUGCGGGAGGCGAGGGGUGGCGGAUAAUGGCCUCCCGUGCGCCGCUGCUCGCGGUUGGCCUAAAAUCGAGUCCUCGGCGGCGAGCGCCACGACAAGCGGUGGUUGAGAGACCCCCCGAAUCCAAGUCGUGAGCGGUCGUCGACCAAGCGAGAGCUCCACGACCCUCGUGCGUCGCCUCGGCGAUGCUUUCGUAGCGACCCCAGGUCAGGCGGGGCUACCCGCUGAAUUUAAGCAUAUCAAUAAGG